CGCCCGCCCCCCGCGCCCGGCCUCGCCACGCGGCCGCUCUCCGAGAAGACAGAACCACGGGUACGCGACACCUCGGGGUCCCGACUUGACGGACACCAACUCUGCCUUCUAAGCCGAGAGGAGACCACAGAAUUGGAAGGACUGAUACACAAGCUGAAGUUCCAAUACUUUCGCCACCUGAUGCAAAGAGUCUUCUCAUUGGAAAAGACCCUGAUGCUGCGAAAGAUUGAAGGCAAAAGGAGAAGGGGGCAACAGAGGAUGAGAUGGUUAGAUAGCAUCACCAACUGAAUGGACAUAAUUCUGAGGAAAUUCGCAUUGUGUUUUCAGGAUCAUCCAGGUUGCUUUCUGUUCAUCUAACCCAGUGCUUCUGAAGGCUGCAUGGUACCUCUUUGUGCGGGUCCACCACACUUUACCCAUACACUCUGUUAUGAGCUGAAUUGUGUUCUCCCAAAAUUCAUGUGUUGAAGCCCCAACCUCAGAACCUGAGCAUGUAAUAAUUUUUGGAGAUAGGACUUUAACAAGGGUAAAAUUCAGUCCCAUGAAGACAUCACUGAAGGAUCUGAAAAUAUGCCAGCUGCAUUUAUGGGAAUGCUGAAAGGAGAGACUUUGGGGAAGGCAAUAGUGAAAGCAUGAACAAAAAUGACACAUCUGGAUGAUUCCUUAGUCUCUUUUUAAUCAUUUAGCAAAAUCUGUCCUGUCUUUAUGACAUAAAAACAGUCAUGGUAAUGCAUUUGAUCUACUUAAUAAAAUACAUUGAUGUAAAUAAUUAGGAAUAGAGAGUGGAAAUUUCAUACUGAACAAUGGCCAAGUGAGAUUACUACCUGCUAUAGCUCUUUCUAGGUUAUGGUAGAAGAUAAUGGCCUUGUAGUCCAAAAGUUUAAUGCCUCUGUGACCUUACUUAAAAUUUUUCAUCUGCAAAGUGAGGAUAGUAACAUCUGCAUGACAUACAUAUCAUACAUCAGUUUAUAUCACCAGCAUAACACGUGACAUAUACUAGGUACUCAGUAAGUGUUUAGCUACCUCCUGCAAAAAUCAGUGAGUUCAAAGUCAAAAUUACAACCACUAUGGCUGAUGGUUCCGUUCAGUUCAGUUCAUUUCAGUCAUGCAGUUGUGUCCGACUCUGCGACCCCAUGAACUACAACACACCAGGCCUCGCUGUCCAUCAUUUACUCCCAGAGUUUAGACAAACUCAAGUCCAUUGAGUCAGUGAUGCCAUCCAACCAUCUCAUCCACUGCUGUCCCCUUCUCCUCCCACCUUCAAUCUUUCCCAGCAUCACUGUCUUUUCAAAUAAGUUGGUUCUUUGCAUGAGGUGGCCAAAGUAUUAGAGUUUCAGCUUCAGCAACAGUCUUUCCAAUGAAUAUUCAGGACUGAUUUUCUUUGGGAUGGACUGGUUGGAUCUCCUUGCCGUCCAAGGGACUCUCAAGAGUCUUCUCCAACAUCACAGUUCAAAAGCAUCGAUUCUUCAGUGCUCAGCUUUCUU